rnacentral:tmRNA from 1 species
GGGGCUGACUGGCUUUGACAGCGAGAUGAAAUGGUUUGUAAGCAUGCAGCGCAUAGUCGGCUGGCGCUAUAAUCUCAGACGUCAAAAAUUUAACUGGCAACAACAAUUACGCUCUUGCUGCUUAAUCGAAGUAUAGUAGAUAUAGCUUAAUCCCUGCACAGGUGCAGGGACAAGACAUCACCCGGAAGCUGUGGCUUCGAAGCGUGCCGAUCAGGUGGUGCAGGCAAAUCGGAGACAGGAUAAGGGAGGCUUGGGCUCUUAUCUGAAACAAAACAAGCUAAGGAUUGAAUUGGUAGCUUUGGUCUUGUUCAUUCACGAAAAUUAAAACAAAGACAAGCAUGUAGAAAGCAAAUCAGUUCCUUGUUUGGACGAGGGUUCAAUUCCCUCCAGCUCCACAA